UUGAGCUGUACGAGAUGAAAGUCUCCUAUACAGUUCUGAGAGGGGAAUUCUCAGCUAUCUCAAU
rnacentral:ncRNA from 1 species